rnacentral:rRNA from 1 species
AACGAACGCUGGCGGCGUGUCUUAAGCAUGCAAGUCGAGCGGCAAGGAAGUGCUUGCACUUCCCUAGAGCGGCGGACUGGUGAGUAACGCGUGGGUGAUCUACCUCGGGGUUGGGGAUAGCCAUUAGAAAUAGUGGGUAAUACCGAAUACGCUUCCAGGGCUACAGCCUUGGAAGGAAAGGCGCUACGGCGCCGACCUGAGAUGAGCCCGCGUCCCAUUAGCUAGUUGGUGAGGUAACGGCCCACCAAGGCGAUGAUGGGUAGGCGGCCUGAGAGGGUGUACGCCCACAUUGGGACUGAGAUACGGCCCAAACUCCUACGGGAGGCAGCAGCUAAGAAUAUUCCGCAAUGGACGAAAGUCUGACGGAGCGACGCCGCGUGGAUGAUGAAGGCCGGAAGGUGUAAAUCCUUUAGUCGGGAAGAAUAAGCGUGGGAGGGAAUGCCGCGUGAUGACAUGAACCGGCGAAUAAGCCCCGGCUAACUACGUGCCAGCAGCCGCGGUAAAACG